AAAUAAUAUAAGAUAAAAUUUUGAACAAUGGCUUGCGUUUAUAUCAAUCGAUCUUAUUUUGGUUUGAUUUUAGUUAUUUUUAUGAUUUUGUUUUCAGGAUUAUCGAGUGGUGAAUAUAGUCUUUUGGAUUUAAAAUGUCAAGAUGGUGAUUGCACUUCAGAUUUAGAAUGCUAUCGAGAGUGUUAUGGAGAAGGCUUUAAGUAUGGUGGUACAUGCUAUAAAAUUAAUCCUAAGACUGUGCGUUGUUGUUGUCGUGAAUGAUGAGUCAUUGUAUGAAUCAAUAAAAGAGAUAUCUUAAGUAUGUUGAAUUAAAGUUUGUAAGGGAAUAUAUUAUGAAAUAAAAGAUAUCUUUUAACUUGAUUAAUAUAUACAA